AUACAUACCUGGCAGGGGAGAUACCAUGAUCACAAGUGUUUUCCCAGGGUAAGGCUUAUCCAUUGCACUCUGGAUGUACUGACCCCAGCUAUUUCCCCAAAUGCAGGAAACUCUAAUGCAUAAUUUAUAGUAGUGUGGAAGUGAAUUCCAGCGCUUCCCAG
rnacentral:snRNA from 1 species